rnacentral:rRNA from 1 species
UACGGGGGGAGCAAGCGUUGUUCGGAAUCACUGGGCGUAAAGGGCGUUUAGGCGGUUGGAUAAGUGGAAUGUGAAAUCCCUCGGCUCACCCGAGGAUCUGCAUCCCAAACUGUCCGACUUGAGUAUGGGAGAGGAUGAGGGAAUUCCUGGUGUAGCGGCGAAAUGCGUAGAUAUCAGGAGGAACACCGGUGGCGAAGGCGCUCAUCUGGCCCAAUACUGACGCUGAAGCGCGAAAGCUAGGGGAGCAAACGGG